rnacentral:ncRNA from 2 species
UCUAUAUCUAGCCGUCAUGGUUCUUCCGAGUCGGAUUCCGGCCCGGGAGCCAAGAGGGAAGCCGGUGCGCGGGAGACCGCAAGGCCGGCGCUGCCCCCGCAGCUGUAAGCAGCGAGUUGCUGUCCGCUUUGUGGUCACUGGCGCGAAAGCGCCGGGAAGACAGGACAGCGGCGACGACCUGCGAGCCAGAAGACCUGCCGUGACGAUGUGAACGAA